AAAGUUUGAUCCUGGCUCAGGAUGAACSYUGGCGGUAUGCUUAWCAYAUGCAAGUCGAACGGUCUUUUAGGAGACAGUGGCGGACGGGUGAGUAACGCGUAAGAAUCUACCCUCAGGUCGGGGACAACCACUGGAAACGGUGGCUAAUACCGGAUGUGCCGAGARGUGAAAGGCCUGCUGCCUGGGGAAGAGCUUGCGUCUGAUUAGCUAGUUGGUAGUGUAAGGGACUACCAAGGCGACGAUGGGUAGCUGGUUUGAGAGGAUGACCAGCCACAUUGGGACUGAGAUACGGCCCAGACUCCUACGGGAGGCRGCAGUGAGGAAUUUUSSGSARUGGACGAARGYCUGACGGAGCGACKMCGCGUGGGUGACGAAGGUCUUCGGAUCGUAAAGCCCUGUCAGGGGGAAAGAAACCCGUUGUCGCUAAUAUCGGCGACGGUUGACGGUACCCCCAAAGGAAGCACCGGCCAACUACGUGCCAGCAGCCGCGGUAAUACGUAGGGUGCAMGCGUUAUCCCGGAAUUACUGGGCGUAAAGAGCUCGUAGGCGGUUGGAUAAKUSSCAUGUWAAAGACCCAAGCUUAACUUGGGGGCUGCGUGCGAUACUGUCCGGCUAGAGAAACGGGAGAGGAACGUGGAAUUCCUGGUGUAGCGGGUGAAAWGCAUAGWUWUCAGGAAGAYCACCUGUGGCSGAAGGCGGSWUUCUAAACCGUUUUCCRA
rnacentral:rRNA from 1 species